ACGCCCAGAGCUCAGUGCUGCUGAGUUCCGUUACAGAGCUUCAGGUUGCAGUGGUAAACGGUUACUGUGGAGAUUUAUAAUUGGCCCAAAUGCCGAGAAUAAGUGACAAAUGAAUUCCUGGCUGUAAAUGGGAUAUCUAUGUCACCCAAAUCAAGGUUCAGGGAACAUGAAGAAGAGGAACAAAGCCGAAGCUUCACUGAGCAAAGAGAGCAAUCAACAGAAGGCAGAGCCUUGGGCAACAAAAGAAACCCGGAGCCGGCAUCUGCCCCUGGGCUUUGCCCAUCUUGGAUAUGGCUCUCCAGCAGCUGCUAUAGCCAUCCACACUCACGUCUGUACAAAGACUGGCUUCUCUCUGUAGCAGCAGAGUGUUGUUUAUAUGGCAGACUGACAUUGAAAUCCCAAGCUGCCAAAUGCUCUGCAGACUACAGCGUCUACACCCCAACCCCCAGCAGUGCAUCCGAUUCCUGCCUCUCCUCUCCAUGCCAGGUCAAGCCUGCUCUAUCAACCUUCUAGCACUGGAUGUUCGAAUGAUUUUAGUUUGUAUUUUCCUGAACACUAAUGAUGCUGAACACAAUUACAAAAUAAAUGCCACUUUUUUUGGUGAA